UGAUCCAAGUCAAUGUAUAAAUGUACAUCAAUGUGUAAUAAGUGUAUCUCUCUCUGUGUGUGUUCGAUGUUUGAGUUGAAGACGGAGCAAAAGAUAUAUUAGAGAGCUUGGAAUGAGAUAGGUCAAACUUCUAAGGCAGUUCUUGUAAUAUUCACACACGUAUCUAUAGAGAUUGUCCUAAGAAAUAAUACUUGUCUUAAAUCGAUGAAAAAUUAAUUAUUAUUUGUGGUGGUGUU
rnacentral:lncRNA from 1 species